GUUUUGUAAAAAAUUUUUAAUUGCAUAGCUUUGAAAACAAAUGUGUUUUUGGUGGGGAACCCCACUGUAUUUGUAAACAACAAUUUUCUUACAACAUGGGUAUUGUUAUAUUUUUUCACAAAUAUAUUUCAAUGAUAUACACAUAUAUAAUAGUAUAUUAUCAUAAAUUGACAUGUAGUAAUAGUUUCCCAUACUCUUGAUAAUGAAGAUCAGGCUCUAUUUUAGUCUAACUUUCUAAUUUCCUCAGAAGUCCCAUCCUCCAACUAUGUCAUGCUCCUUACUCCAAACACAUCUAUACUUUUAUACUCCCACUACUGUGUUUCUCUUCUCUUGCCGUGUCCAUUCGUGUCUUUUUCUCACAGUUUUCUUUCUGUGGAGGAGCCUUGCUGGCAGAGUGGGUUACGUGUUGAGCUGCUAACUUCAAGGUCAGCAUGUAGCAACCAUCAGCCUGUGGAGAAAGUAAGUAAAGAAACGAGAACUUAAGUGGAUUCCUGGACGGCGCGGGUCUUCUGUGUCUAUUUUCAUGCUGGUCGAUGUGGUUCAAGGAUUUGAGGCCUGUGGUUCUGUCUGCUUGCUUCCCGGUGCCUGUAGAAGUUCCCUGAAAUGUUCUGCAGAUCUGGAAUCUGGACACAACAUAGCUUUGUCCUCUACUUCAAAGACAUCUCAAGACCCCAUUGGAGAGCAAUGUGCUUCCAAGCUCACCCGAUUGUUGAGAUGAUUCGCUCUAUGGCUAGGGUUGGCUGGAGCUCCGUGCCACAUGGACCUCUCAGACACAGCAGCUUGCUUCGUCUACGUGUAAAAGCCAAGAAGGCAAUGCAGUAUACCAGUAAGAUAGAAACCACAAUGUUUAGUUAUCUAAUCAGAGAAGAGACAACCCAUCACCUUUAUUGGUUAUUCUGUUUAGUUAAAAGCAAGUUACCUAGGUUCAGACUGCGUUCAAGUGCAUGAGUACCAGAAGGCAGGCAACAGUGGGGACCAUUUCUACCAUAGUUACUAACCAUAAUCAAUUGAAACUCAAUUCAGAUGAGCAAAGGGUUAUAUGUGACGGAAAAUCAGCACAGUCAUGUUUCAAGGCAAAUUUUGCUCUAAUCAUGGAUCUGUGAAGGUUUGCCUGUGUUAAAUUUCCAGGAGAGUAUUAUUCUAGAAAAUUGAGGCCCCAUAAUGUUGAACUGUUUUCCUCUAGGAAUCAUGGAUAGAAGCUGUAAGGUAAGGGCCAUGCAAUCAAGGACAAGAUUGUGACCAUAGCACAGGGCAAGACUAAACAGUUAAAUUCAGCUAACCGCCUUUAUGUUGGGGAUCUUUUGUAGAUGUCUGGGCAGUCGUGAAAAUGUGGAAUAGAGAGAAGAAUGAAAAGAAGAUAGAACUAGCUAAUACCUCCAACUGAUUAAAAACAAACAUGCAUUGCACAACUACUGGGGAUUUUCACAUACCACUGUCCAGGAUCAUAAUACUGGAACCACUGAAGUUCAGAUUUCUCACACAUGAUGCCAAAUUCCUAGAGGAAAUUCAGGAUUCUGAACAGCUGCUGAGGAACGGCAGUGCCAGGGCUGUCUGAGUGGGUGUACAAAAAGAUUGAAGUGGAUUUGUAGGAGAUGAGAUAUUAGGGAUGUUUAAUAACAAAGUAUUUAAAACACAAAGAGAUAGUAUGGUCUGAUCAUCAAAAAAGUGUGUUCUGAAGUCAAAUAUCCUUCAAUCUUCUUCCUAAAUUUAUUACUUGGUGAUCAAGUAAUAAAGUCAAGUGGCCUUACAACCAAGUUUUUUUUAGAAUUUUUAAAUUUUGCUUUUAGAAUUAAGUGAGAUGAUGUAUAUUCCAUUUAGUGGCACACAAUACAUUUCAGUAAAUAUUAUUACUCUUACACAGAUUUAUUACAGCAGACAGAGGUGAGGGGUAAAAAAAGAGAAGAGAGGAUAAUUCAAGGUUUUAGCUAAGGGUGCUGGCAGAAUGAUGGCACCAUUCAUUUACAAGUAGAAAUUUCGGGGAGAGGCCAGUACUUGUGUAUUGUUUGGGUGAAAAGAGAUGAGGUCAGUUUCAGGCUUCUUAAACUUAACAUGAAGCAUGUGAUGCCAUCCAGCAGGUUCUUUAUGGUCUCACAGAAAGUUAAAUCUGGAAGUAACCAUUUGAGAUCUGUGUUCUUAUGUCUCUUUAGUCAUGAUUGGUCUAAGGUGAACACUUGCUCCUUUCCUCUGACUGUUCUCCCAGGCAUCAAUUGAUUUAUUUAAAACUCAGACUAAGCUUCACUGGAAAUUGCAAGUUGAUUCACAAUAUCAAGAAGAUGCAAACACUGUAAAGGCCCAUUAGUGGGAGAAUGGAUCCAUAAGCUUGGUACAUGGUCACAAUGAAAUACUACACACCAUUAAAGAAUAAUGAUGAAAUUGUGGAACACCUCAUGACAGAUGCAUCCGAAAGACAUUACACUGAGUGAAGUUAGGGCAAAAAUUAUAUGAGACUACUGUUAUGAAAAAGAAAAGGGUUUCAUACCAAAAGAAACAUACUUCGGUGGUCGACAGAGGUAGAAGGGGAGAGAACAAAGGAAAAACAAUAGGCUAGACAGGUGGUCACUUGGGCCAAGGGAAAGAUAAUAUACUACAAGAGAGUGCUGGUGGAAAGGGCUAAAGGUGGGGAUAGGACAAGUCCUUGGGAAGUUUGAUGUUAUUUAAUACCCCCACGGGGAUGAUUGACAAUGUUUUUCUUUUUUUGUUUCUUUAUUUUUCUGCAUUUUGCUUAUUUAUUUGGUUUUUGUUGUUGCUGUUUAGCUUGUGGGUUUUGGUUUUUGUUAUAAUAUGACUGCCAAAGUAAACCAGAACUGUUCAUAACCAUUUGCAUUUAGUGGCACACAAUACAUUUCAGUGAAUAUUAUUACUCUUACACAGACUUACUACAGCAUACAGAGGUGAGGGGUAAAAAAAGACAAGCACAUGGACUCUGGGCUUCCACUUAACUCUAGCCCCAACCCAAGAACAGUUAAUUCUGAUAACAUGACCCUGCUGGGUA